ensembl:lncRNA
UGGGGCUGUGAAAACUCUAAACAGACAGACAGACAGGUAUGGAGCUGUAAAUACUCUAAACAGACAGACAGGUAUGGAGCUGUGAAAACUCUAAACAGACAGACAGAGCUAUUGAGCUGUGAAUACUCUAAACAGACAGACAGGUAUGGAGCUGUGAAAUUUCUAAACAGAAAGACAGACAGACAGGUAUGGAGCUGUGAUUACUCUAAACAGACAGACAGGCAGGUAUGGAGCUGUGAAAACUCUAAACAGAAAGACAGACAGACAGGUGUGGAGCUGUGAAAACUCUAAACAGACAGACAGGUAUGGAGCUGUGAAAACUCUAAACAGACAGACAGGCAGACAGACAGGUGUGGAGCUGUGAAAACUCUAAACAGACAGACAGAGCUAUUGAGCUGUGAAUACUCUAAACAGACAGACAGGUAUGGAGCUGUGAAUACUUUAAACAGACAGACAGACAGACAGGUAUGGAGCUGUGAAAACUCUAAACAGAUAGACAGACAGACAGACAGGCAGGUAUGGAGCUGUGAAAACUCUAAACAGAAAGACAGACAGACAGGUAUGGAGCUGUGAAAACUCUAAACAGACAGACAGGUAUGGAGCUGUGAAAAC